rnacentral:rRNA from 1 species
UACGGAGGGUGCAAGCGUUACUCGGAAUCACUGGGCGUAAAGGACGCGUAGGCGGGUUGUCAAGUCAGGUGUGAAAUCCUACAGCUUAACUGUAGAACUGCACUUGAAACUGGCAGCCUAGAGUAUGGAGGGGAGAUGGAAUUAGUGGUGUAGGGGGUAAAAUCCGUAGAUAUCACUAGGAAUACCUAAAGCGAAGGCGAUCUCCUGGAACAUUACUGACGCUAAGGCGUGAAAGCGUGGGGAGCAAACAGG